CCUACGGGUGGCUGCAGUGAGGAAUAUUGGUCAAUGGGCGGAAGCCUGAACCAGCCAAGUAGCGUGCGGGAUGAAGGCCCUACGGGUCGUAAACCGCUUUUGCACGGGGAUAACACCCGCCACUUGUGUAGGUCUGCAGGUACCGUGCGAAUAAGGGCCGGCUAAUUCCGUGCCAGCAGCCGCGGUAAUACGGAAGGCCCAAGCGUUAUCCGGAUUCAUUGGGCUUAAAGGGGGCGUAGGCGGGCGUUCAAGUCAGCGGUAAAAUCUCGGGGCUAAACCGCGCACCGCAGUUUAAACUGGACGCCUUGAGAUCACAACAGGCAGGCGGAAUUCGUGGUGUAGCGGUGAAAUGCAUAGAGAUCACGAGGAACCCCGAUUGCGAAGGCAGCCUGCCGGGGUGCGUCUGACGCUGAGGCUCGAAGGUGUGGGUAUCAAACAGGAUUAGAUACCCUAGUAGUC
rnacentral:rRNA from 1 species